GUGUGAAUCACAGGGCGCUUCUCCCCUGGCACGGCGGCAUGUAUGUACCGUUGAGUGUGCAGUGCAGCUUGCUAGCAAGCCGUGCGUGCCAAAGGAGAAUUGCCCUGCCAUUCGCCU
rfam:Triticum aestivum genome assembly, contig: Triticum_aestivum_CS42_TGACv1_scaffold_030435_1BL